rnacentral:lncRNA from 1 species
CCCCUAUAGUUGCUCGGUCUAAUCUUUCCGGAUCGUCUGCUCGAACUCAUGGGAGACUACGCACCACCCGACUUCACCCCUGCUACCGGCGAGGAUCACACCUUUACCAGCAAGCUUCCUCCUGCAACAGUUCCGGAGCUUACAAUCCCUCAGUACGUUUUCCAAGGAGUAGAGAGUUACCUGGAGAGAGUAGCGAUCGUGGACACCUCCGAUGGCCGAGAGUACACGUACAGGCAGCUCAAGCGGCUGGUGGAGAACUCGGCCGCAGGAAUGGUCCAGCACGGGCUCAAGAAAGGCGAC